UUGAACGCUGGCGGAAUGCUUUACACAUGCAAGUCGAGCGGCAGCGCAAAAGCAACCCUAACGGCGAGCAACGAACAAAUAAGUAAUGUAUCAGAACGUACCCAAUCGUAAAAAAUAACUAUCCAAAAGAAUAACUAAUACCACAUACAUCCUAAAAAAGAAAACAAGAAAUCACAAAACCUCACGCAAUUGGAACGGCCGAUAUCGGAUUAGCUAGUUGGUAAAGUAAAGGCUCACCAAGGCGACGAUCCGUAGCUGGUCUGAGAGGACGACCAGCCACACUGGAACUGAGACACGGUCCAGACUCCUACGGGAGGCAGCAGUGGGGAAUUUUGGACAAUGGGGGCAACCCUGAUCCAGCCAUUCCGCGUGAGUGAAGAAGGCCUUCGGGUUGUAAAGCUCUUUCGGCAGGAACGAAACGGUGGCCCCUAAUACGGGUCGCUAAUGACGGUACCUGAAGAAGAAGCACCGGCUAACUACGU
rnacentral:rRNA from 1 species